GCUAACCUGUUGUAUCGUAAUCUGUUGAUAAUAAAUGGUGUUUGUGGAACUGUUGUAUAAAAGCCAUAUAACACUUGAGGCCGUGCUGUUGUACUGAAUAUCAGCAAGGCUGUGAUGCCUACGACCGUAUCACAGCACUACAUCACAAGUGAUGAUUUAAAUAUGCAUAAUAACAUUAUAAAUAAAUAUGGUUAGGACGAGAAAUACAAGAAAUAGUUGACGAAUUUUUGCCUGAUUGUAUCAAAUAUCAGAUCUACAGAAAAUGGACGUGUAUUGUUUAAAAUGUUUGUAGGUUACUUAUAAUAGUUUGUACAUUUAAAGCAAAUAUCAUUCUAUAUUUACAUACUGUAUGUAUAAAACGUAGUAGAUCUUGUGGUAUCCUGUCGCACUGCUACGGCAAAAGAUAAUUAAAUUUAUCCGUCUACUUGUCCAUGUCAGACCCAAUUUCAUGUUUUAAACUAAAUACUGAGUUAAUUUUAUUCGAAGCACAAGCCAUAGUCACACUCCGAGGCGUAAGCUUUUACUCUAAUUGACCUUGGACGCUUUUCAGCUCCUGCUUUGGUGUCUUCGGAUCAGUUACCAUCAUAGUAUUGUUGAACUUUUGUGUGAGGAUAGUGUGUGUGUGUGUGUGUGUGUUGGUAAGGAUACAAUCCUGGAGCAAUAAUCAGUGGCAACACUUCCAGAGGACAAGUCUGUCAGUCUGUCUGUUUCAGCCGUCUGUGUUCCAGUCUCUCAGCUUUCUCAACACCUGAACUCCAGGCGCUCCUGUGCAUCCCUCUCACCCCCCUGCUAGUGUAAAUAGAGUACCUCUGCAAUUCAGCCUUAUUGAAAGAAGAGAAGAUUCUGAUGUGAUGUGUGUGUGUGUGACAGAUGAUGACGUGAAGGAUUUCGCUUGCGAUUACGUCUACAUUUAUACACAAUGUUAACCAGUGUGCCUUUCUUCACCUUAAGUAACCCACACACCAAGUAUAACUGAAGGCUGGACU